rnacentral:rRNA from 1 species
AUGAACGCUGGCGGCGUGCCUAAUACAUGCAAGUCGAGCGAACGGACGAGAAGCUUGCUUCUCUGAUGUUAGCGGCGGACGGGUGAGUAACACGUGGAUAACCUACCUAUAAGACUGGGAUAACUUCGGGAAACCGUAGCUAAUACCGGAUAAUAUUUUGAACCGCAUGGUUCAAAAGUGAAAGACGGUCUUGCUGUCACUUAUAGAUGGAUCCGCGCUGCAUUAGCUAGUUGGUAAGGUAACGGCUUACCAAGGCAACGAUGCAUAGCCGACCUGAGAGGGUGAUCGGCCACACUGGAACUGAGACACGGUCCAGACUCCUACGGGAGGCAGCAGUAGGGAAUCUUCCGCAAUGGGCGAAAGCCUGACGGGGCAACGCCGCGUGAGUGAUGAAGGUCUUCGGAUCGUAAAACCCUGUUAUUAGGGAAGAACAUAUGUGUAAGUAACUGUGCACAUCUUGACGGUACCUAAUCAGAAAGCCACGGCUAACUACGUG